AAGGUUUUAUUCUUGCUUAAAAAUUUAUUUAUAGUUUAUUUUACAUGUAAAUUUUUGUGGGUGCUAUUAUAAAAUUUUAAAAAUUUUAUUUUUAUUUUAUUCGCAGUAAUUAAUUUUAAUUAUUAAGGAAACUUAGAAUUAGUAAUAUUAUAUAAUACUGGCAAAUUUUGUGCCAGCUGCCGCGGUUAUACAAAAAGUAUAAGUAAAUGAUUAUUGGUAAUAGUUCAAUUUAUUAAAUAAAAAUAAAUAUAAAUUUAUUAAGUGAAAUUUUAUAUUUAUAAAAAUUUUAAUUUUAAAGUUAAUUUAAGCUAUGAAAUUUUAAAAUUUAAACUAGGAUUAGAUACCCUAUUAUUUUAAAAUGUAAAUUUAUUUAUAGGCCUGAGUAGUAUAAGUUAAGAUCUUGAAACUUAAAGAAUUUGGCGGUGUUUUAGUCUAUUCAGAGGAACUUGUUCUGUAAUUGAUGAUCCACGAUGAACCUAACUUAUAUUUGUUUACAGCUUGUAUACCGCCGUCGUCAGAAUAUCUUAGGAGAGAAAUAAUUUUCUAAAAUUUUUAUUAAAUUUAAUGUCAGGUCAAGGUGCAGUUAAUGUAUAAGAAGAAAUGAGUUACAAUAAAUUUAAUUAUAUGGAUAAUUAAUUGAAAUUUUAAUUUAAAAGUGGAUUUGAUAGUAAAUAAAUAAAGAUAAUUUAAUUGAUUUUAGCUCUAAAACAUGUACAUAUCGCCCGUCGCUCUCAUUAUUUAAAAUGAGAUAAGUCGUAACAUAGUAGAUGUACUGGAAAGUGUAUCUAGAUAGA
rnacentral:ncRNA from 1 species